CAGGUGUUAUGGUAAAGGGACAGCUUGGUGCUGUCAGCCUCACUGACCAUGCAUUUAUAAAGCACCAAAGUGCGUGUGAUGCUGCUGGGCACUGGAGAUGGGACCAGGUGCUGCUGCACACGUAUGCACACACCAUGCAUACAUGCACACACACCACACACGCAUGCACACAGUGCACACGUGCACACACCAUGCAUACACACCACACACCGUGCACACGUGCACACACCAUGCAUACACACCACACACAGUGCACACGUGCACAUUACCAUGCAUCCACACACAGUGCACACGUGCACACACUAUGCAUACACAGUGCACACGUGCACACACCAUGCAUACACACCACACACCGUGCACACGUGCACACACCAUGCAUACACACCACACACAGUGCACACGUGCACAUUACCAUGCAUCCACACACAGUGCACACGUGCACACACUAUGCAUACACAGUGCACACGUGCACACACCAUGCAUACACACCACACAGUGCACACGUGCACAUUACCAUGCAUACACAGUGCACACGUGCACACACCAUGCAUACACACCACACACAGUGCACACGUGCACAUUACCAUGCAUACACACAGUGCACGCGUGCACAUUACCAUGCAUACACAGUGCACAUGUGCACACACCAUGCAUACACACCACACAGUGCACACGUGCACACACCAUGCAUACACAGUGCACACGUGCACACACCAUGCAUACACAGUGCACAUGUGCACACACCAUGCAUACACACCACACACCGUGCACACGUGCACACACCAUGCAUACACACCACACACAGUGCACACGUGCACAUUACCAUGCAUCCACACACAGUGCACACGUGCACACUAUGCACACAGUGCACACGUGCACACACCAUGCAUACACACCACACACAGUGCACACGUGCACAUUACCAUGCAUACACAGUGCACACGUGCACACACCAUGCAUGCACACCACACACAGUGCACACGUGUACGUUACCAUGCAUACACACAGUGCACGCGUGCACAUUACCAUGCAUACACAGUGCACACGUGCACACACCAUGCAUACACACCACACACAGUGCACACGUGCACAUUACCGUGCAUACACACAGUGCAUGCGUGCACAUUACCAUGCAUACACACAGUGCACACGUGCACACACCAUGAAUACACACCACACACAGUGCACACGUGCACACACCAUGCAUACACACAGUGCACACGUGCACACACCAUGCAUACAUACCACACACAGUGCACACGUGCACAUUACCAUGCAUACACCACGCAUGCACAAUGCACGUGCACACCAUGCAUACACACCACACAUGCAUCCACACACAAUGCACAGAUGCGCACACCAUGCAUACACACCAUACAUGCAUGAUCACACGUGCACACACCAUACAUACCCACCACGCAUGCACACACACAAUGCACAGGUGCACACACCAUGCAUACACACCACACAAUGCAAUCGUGCACACACAAUGCACACGUGCACACACCAUGCAUACACACCACACAAUGCAAUCAUGCACACAAUGCACACGUGCACACACCAUGCAUACAUACCACA
rnacentral:lncRNA from 1 species